rnacentral:rRNA from 1 species
CCUAACACAUGCAAGUCGAGCGGCAGCGACAACAUUGAACCUUCGGGGGAUUUGUUGGGCGGCGAGCGGCGGACGGGUGAGUAAUGCCUAGGAAAUUGCCCUGAUGUGGGGGAUAACCAUUGGAAACGAUGGCUAAUACCGCAUGAUGCCUACGGGCCAAAGAGGGGGACCUUCGGGCCUCUCGCGUCAGGAUAUGCCUAGGUGGGAUUAGCUAGUUGGUGAGGUAAGGGCUCACCAAGGCGACGAUCCCUAGCUGGUCUGAGAGGAUGAUCAGCCACACUGGAACUGAGACACGGUCCAGACUCCUACGGGAGGCAGCAGUGGGGAAUAUUGCACAAUGGGCGCAAGCCUGAUGCAGCCAUGCCGCGUGUGUGAAGAAGGCCUUCGGGUUGUAAAGCACUUUCAGUCGUGAGGAAGGUAGUGUAGUUAAUAGCUGCAUUAUUUGACGUUAGCGACAGAAGAAGCACCGGCUAACUCCGUGCCAGCAGCCGCGGUAAUACGGAGGGUGCGAGCGUUAAUCGGAAUUACUGGGCGUAAAGCGCAUGCAGGUGGUUUGUUAAGUCAGAUGUGAAAGCCCGGGGCUCAACCUCGGAAUAGCAUUUGAAACUGGCAGACUAGAGUACUGUAGAGGGGGGUAGAAUUUCAGGUGUAGCGGUGAAAUGCGUAGAGAUCUGAAGGAAUACCGGUGGCGAAGGCGGCCCCCUGGACAGAUACUGACACUCAGAUGCGAAAGCGUGGGGAGCAAACAGGAUUAGAUACCCUGGUAGUCCACGCCGUAAACGAUGUCUACUUGGAGGUUGUGGCCUUGAGCCGUGGCUUUCGGAGCUAACGCGUUAAGUAGACCGCCUGGGGAGUACGGUCGCAAGAUUAAAACUCAAAUGAAUUGACGGGGGCCCGCACAAGCGGUGGAGCAUGUGGUUUAAUUCGAUGCAACGCGAAGAACCUUACCUACUCUUGACAUCCAGAGAACUUUCCAGAGAUGGAUUGGUGCCUUCGGGAACUCUGAGACAGGUGCUGCAUGGCUGUCGUCAGCUCGUGUUGUGAAAUGUUGGGUUAAGUCCCGCAACGAGCGCAACCCUUAUCCUUGUUUGCCAGCGAGUAAUGUCGGGAACUCCAGGGAGACUGCCGGUGAUAAACCGGAGGAAGGUGGGGACGACGUCAAGUCAUCAUGGCCCUUACGAGUAGGGCUACACACGUGCUACAAUGGCGCAUACAGAGGGCGGCCAACUUGCGAAAGUGAGCGAAUCCCAAAAAGUGCGUCGUAGUCCGGAUUGGAGUCUGCAACUCGACUCCAUGAAGUCGGAAUCGCUAGUAAUCGUGGAUCAGAAUGCCACGGUGAAUACGUUCCCGGGCCUUGUACACACCGCCCGUCACACCAUGGGAGUGGGCUGCAAAAGAAGUAGGUAGUUUAACCUUCGGGGGGACGCUUACC